AUGGAUGGAACAGUGCAGACUCCAAGCGGCACCGUGCCACGUGUUGCUGCCCACCCUAGCGUGAACGGCAACGGCGCUGCCAGGCACUUGCAUGAUGAAUGGCUGGAAGAGUAUGAAGCUGGCGUUUUCAUGAAGCUGAAGGACCUCGGUGAUGGCACUCGUGAGCUGAUGAGGGUUCGGUUCAGCAAAACGCGCUUUGGGGAGCAUCAGGCUGAGAAUUGGUGGAAAGAGAAUCGCGAGAAGGUUUAUGAGCGAUACAACGUGAGGACCUCCCAACGAGCGUCGUCAGCAGCCUCGACCCACUCGGCCUAA
rnacentral:rRNA from 1 species